rnacentral:snoRNA from 1 species
AAGACUAUACUUCACAGGAUCAUUUCUGUAGUCAGUCUUCAUUUAUUGCCAUCCCCCCCAAAUUUGUGUAAGGUUUUUAUCCAGUGUAAUAUUGCUUAUAUAAUGAAAUGUACUUGUUUCGAUUUAUCGAGCCCUUGGGAUUAGGCAAGAACAUUUUUAAGUGUUUGCAUCACAGUUUCACUGCUGA